UGGCCUCAGGUCAAGUAAGAUUACCCGCUGAA
rnacentral:rRNA from 1 species